rnacentral:lncRNA from 1 species
CACUAGGGUGGAUGGAGCCCGAGAAGAGGCCACGGAAGGGAAGGUGAAGCGGGCUGGGGAGAAUCCUGAGUCCUAAGGAAGGCUGGACAGUGAUCCAUCAUGUUUUUUUCCUUCUCUGGUGCCGGUAAAUGGGAAGGAGCAAAUCGACUCCUCAUCGAACAGCCACAGGACACCAGCUGCAGUCCAGAAUGCCCGCUGCCAGCCUCCAUGGCUGGUGCAUCUGAGGUCUUCAAGUGGAUCUCCUCACCAGAAGGCACGGCAAAGUCCUCGAUGUCCGAGCGACAUCACCAUUGAACCUCCUAGCUUACCUGCAAAGCCCUCCUCACCAUUCACCAGCAAAAACUGAAAGAUAGCUACAACCCAGCAGCCUGGGGCUUGUGAACGCUCAAAAUGACAACUUAUACUGUGAAAUGGGUGAUUCUGCCUGCCUCCCUGUCCUCUGCUGGAGGACUCCCAUUUCCCAAUACCCUACAGCAACAGGGCUUGUUUGUCUUGGAGCAUCUAGUGUUCAUCUUUAGCAAAACUACAGAAACAGGCAGAGGGGAGGUCUGGGGAGGGGCGCAUGAUGCUGUGAGGGAAGAUUCUCAGGUGGAAAGCCUGGUAAUGAAGAUGAGCUCCAAAUGAAGGCAUGGCAUUGGCUGGGCAGGAAUGGGCAAACAGAGAAAGCCUGCUUGGUCAGGAACAGUGGGUAGACAGUGCAGCUGACAAAGCAAGUCCAGUCCCUGUCCUGAGAAUGCUCCAGGACAGCCCGUAGUCUUCAUUCAUAUAAUAUGUCUGUAACAACUAGGAAAUAUUCCCUCAUUGUCAUAGUUGGAAUAUGAUUGGCCCAGGGAAUGGCUCUAUUUGAAGGUGUGGCCUUGUUGGAGUAGGUAUGUCACAGUGGGCAUGGAUUUAAGACCCUUGUCCUAGCUUCCUGAAAGUGAGUAUUCUCCUAGCAGCCUUCAGAUGAAGAUGUAGAACUCUUAGCUCCUCCUGUAUCAUGCCUAGCUGGAUGCUGCCAUGUACCUGCCUUGGUGAUAUGAACUGAACUUCUGAACCUGUAAGCCAGCCCCAAUUAAAUGUUGUCCUUGUAAGAGU